GACGAACGCUGGCGGCGUGCUUAACACAUGCAAGUCGAACGGAAAGGCCCUGCUUUUGUGGGGUGCUCGAGUGGCGAACGGGUGAGUAACACGUGAGUAACCUGCCCUUGACUUUGGUAUAACUUCAGGAAACUGGGGCUAAUACCGGAUAGGCGCUCCUGCUGCAUGGUGGGGUUUGGAAAGUUUCGGCGGUUGGGGAUGGACUCGCGGCUUAUCAGCUUGUUGGUGGGGUAGUGGCUUACCAAGGCUUUGACGGGUAGCCGGCCUGAGAGGGUGACCGGCCACAUUGGGACUGAGAUACGGCCCAGACUCCUACGGGAGGCAGCAGUGGGGAAUAUUGCACAAUGGGCGGAAGCCUGAUGCAGCAACGCCGCGUGCGGGAUGACGGCCUUCGGGUUGUAAACCGCUUUCGCCUGUGACGAAGCGUGAGUGACGGUAAUGGGUAAAGAAGCACCGGCUAACUACGUG
rnacentral:rRNA from 1 species